AAGAUCACUCCUGUUCUGUCUCCUUCUACUUGCUGAAGAGCUUUUCCUGGAAUCUCAGACCCACAGAUAAGGCAAUCAUCCUCAGCUGUGAAGGAUUACUGAUGAUAAUUUACUUAAAGCCAGAUGCAAGAAUGAAUAUAAUGGGUUCAAAUUUCUCUUAUACAAAAGCUUAAUGAAAAGACCUUCAAAUGGACAUGGCUAAUUACACAGUUCUGAGAAGAGUACAAGCAUUGCUCCAGUAGGCAAGUAUGCAGAAUAAUCUUUCUGUAGCUGCACCUCC
rnacentral:lncRNA from 1 species